rnacentral:lncRNA from 1 species
UUCUGAUUUGUUUUGCAUGGCACACUUGCUCACCUGGUUUUCUCAGUUCCCUUCCUCCCUGUCUGUUCUGCUUUUGUCUCUGGAACACAGUGUGCCCUCAUGUGCUUGUUCUCAGCCCUUUCAGGCCUCUGCUCUCACACAGCUUGUUAUUAGUAAGGCACAGCUCUUAAAUUAGUAACUCAAGAUGCAGAGGCAGGAGACUAGCCAAAAGUUCAAGGCUAGCCUGGUCUACUUAAGUCAACUUGUGCUACAUAGCAAGAACACCUCCUGGUGGGACAUGUGGACUGGCCGAGGGCUUCCUAUGAGCUCCAUCUGGUCGGGCAGCUGUUGGUAAACACCCAACCUCUGGAUCCAUUAGACUUCCUGGCCAGACUUCCCUGGAGAAAGUCCCUGCUAAUCUCCUGCCCAUGGUCUUGGCCACUGGAGGGCCUCUUCUUGGUUACAGGGACCAGGUUUUUAUGGCCCCAGAUGCCUUCUAUCCUCCCAGAGCCUCUGCUCAAUCUCAUGUUGGGCCUGGGGAGGGCCACUGGUUUGCCUCAUAUGGUGAGCUGGGGAGAUGGUCUGUGGUUAACAGUUUCACUGCUUCUCAAACAGACCGAGGGCUGUGUACACUCAAAAUACAGGCAAAGCCUUGGUUUCCCAGAAACCAGGAGCAAAAACAAUUCUCUAGCCCCGUUUACUCCCAGCUCCAGCGAUCAGGGACAACCAGCUGUGGAGGGAGCUUUGGGUGCUCUUCUCCAGCCAGGCCACUGCCCUUGCUUGCCCUUCAGCUGCUGAAGGCUUCACACUCCCACAUGUGUUGUUCCUUACCCAUCACUGUUCAUCUGUUUAAUCACAGCCAAAAUCUAGGGGUGGCUGUCGUGGCCAAGGACUCCUGGGAAGAUCUGUCCACAGGAAUGACUGGAAGGUCAGGACUGUGGAAAGGCUGGAAUGCUGCAGCCCAUUGGCUAAUUACCUUACCCCAGGCUAGCUCUAGCCCUGGAAGUCAUCCUCUGCCCAUCUCUGUCUGUAUUAACAUCUUGCAGCUUGUAGCUAGGAAGUUUUUAGAGUCUAUUGGCUUAGCAGACCACUAGUUCUCCGCAGCCCUAAAGCUCAGAACAUCAUGAACAACAGCUUGGUCUUUAGAAGCCUCCCUGCCUCUCUGCAAUGGCCUCUCUGAUGCAUCACCGAUGUAAGCUAAACUUCCCUUGAUUUAUGACUUUCUUUGUUCUGAAUUGCUUCCACACUGGAAUAUGGAAUUUGAGAUAACUGAAAUCUCUGCUCCUGGGCUAUGGUCACUGACAAUGGUUCCAGAAUCAGCUCUGGCUUACUGCUGUUAAGAUGGAAGCAACAGCCUCUGUGUUGACACUGUCCUCUCUUAAGCUGCUCUUCACAGUGGGUGCCUUCAAUGUCCUGUCAGCAGUGCUUGAAGUGAGCGGGAUCUAACCCUGCGGUCUACGCAUCUCCAGUGAACCCACUAGAUGGGAGCCUUUCUGAAGCUGCCUCCUUUUAAGAGGAGUUGACAGUGCCUCUGUUCCUCACUGUGGCCUGACCCCACACUCAGGUAGAGCUGCUACCUUAGAUGCAGAAACUGAGACCCUGAGACACCACGUACUGCAGCCAAGGUUCUUUGCUUAGGCUGCUAUGGCUGAGGUGGAAUUUGAAUCUGGGUCUGCUGUGUUGGCAAAGAGAGAUCACUUUUUCAUGUGUGGGUGACAAGCGACACUCCACAAACAUCCGUCAAAGGCUCUAUCAAAGUUAAAAUCUGGCUUUUGUUUUGAGCAACUACUUUCAAGCUGUUAUACAAGUUGGAAAUACUGAGCCAAAAAAGAUUCCUAAGUACUCACUAGGGCACUGGCAUGGCACUGGGUAAUGUAGGUCAUGAGAGAAUCAGAUUUGAAUUCUGUAUAAACGACUCAGCUAUGAAGUAGGAAAUGCCCACAUCACAAGCCCGAUGUAGAGCUGGUCAGAAGAACAAAGUGUCACUCUCAGCUGCCAAGAGCAGAGCCAGCAUCCUGAAGGACACAUGUUCACGUUGUAUCUCGGGCAGAUGAAGAAAAUGGCAUACAUACAACAGGAGAGUGUCACAGCGCAUGGACCUAUUUGUAAAGGUAAUUCUAAACUUCAAGAAAGGGCUGCGGGCACAGCUUAGAGGUAGAACAUGUAUCCACGGGAAGCCUGAAAUGCCAUCCCUGGUACUACAACAAAACGAAACAAAAAACUUCAAAAUAAAAAACCCAAACCCCUCCCCCGCC